CCUACGGGAGGCAGCAGUGGGGAAUAUUGGACAAUGGGCGCAAGCCUGAUCCAGCCAUGCCGCGUGUGUGAAGAAGGCCUCGGGUUGUAAAGCACUUUAUCCGGAAGAAAAGCUUUGGGUUAAUACCCUGAAGUCAUGACGGUACCGGAAGAAUAAGCACCGGCUAACUUCGUGCCAGCAGCCGCGGUAAUACGAAGGGUGCAAGCGUUACUCGGAAUUACUGGGCGUAAAGCGUGCGUAGGUGGUUUGUUAAGUCUGAUGUGAAAGCCCCUAGGCUNAACCUGGGAAUUGCNUG
rnacentral:rRNA from 1 species